GGUGGUAAUGCCGGAUGUUCCACAUGAUCGCAUGUGAUUGUGGGAAAGAUUCUAUCGGCGUGGGAUGGGGUCGCGUCCUAUCAGCUUGUUGGUGAGGUAACGGCUCACCAAGGCUUCGACGGGUAGCCGGCCUGAGAGGGCGACCGGCCACAUUGGGACUGAGAUACGGCCCAGACUCCUACGGGAGGCAGCAGUGGGGAAUAUUGCACAAUGGGCGCAAGCCUGAUGCAGCGACGCCGCGUGAGGGAUGGAGGCCUUCGGGUUGUAAACCUCUUUUGUUUGGGAGCAAGCCUUCGGGUGAGUGUACCUUUCGAAUAAGCGCCGGCUAACUACGUGCCAGCAGCCGCGGUAAUACGUAGGGCGCAAGCGUUAUCCGGAUUUAUUGGGCGUAAAGGGCUCGUAGGCGGCUCGUCGCGUCCGGUGUGAAAGUCCAUCGCUUAACGGUGGAUCUGCGCCGGGUACGGGCGGGCUGGAGUGCGGUAGGGGAGACUGGAAUUCCCGGUGUAACGGUGGAAUGUGUAGAUAUCGGGA
rnacentral:rRNA from 1 species